rnacentral:rRNA from 1 species
UUUAUGGAGAGUUUGAUCCUGGCUCAGGACGAACGCUGGCGGCGUGCCUAAUACAUGCAAGUCGAGCGAACAGAAAAGGAGCUUGCUCCUUUGACGUUAGCGGCGGACGGGUGAGUAACACGUGGGCAACCUACCCUAUAGUUUGGGAUAACUCCGGGAAACCGGGGCUAAUACCGAAUAAUCUCUUUUGCUUCAUGGUGAAAGACUGAAAGACGGUUUCGGCUGUCGCUAUAGGAUGGACCCGCGUCGCAUUAGCUAGUUGGUGAGGUAACGGCUCACCAAGGCGACGAUGCGUAGCCGACCUGAGAGGGUGAUCGGCCACACUGGGACUGAGACACGG